AAGAGUUGACCUCGGAUCAGGUAGGAAUACCCGCUGAACUUAAGCAUAUCAAUAAGCGGAGGAAAAGAAACCAACAGGGAUUGCCCCAGUAACGGCGAGUGAAGCGGCAACAGCUCAAAUUUGAAAUCUGGCCCCCGGGGCCCGAGUUGUAAUUUGCAGAGGAUGCUUUUGGCGCGGUGCCUUCCGAGUUCCCUGGAACGGGACGCCAUAGAGGGUGAGAGCCCCGUCUGGUCGGACACCAAGCCAGUGUAAAGCUCCUUCGACGAGUCGAGUAGUUUGGGAAUGCUGCUCUAAAUGGGAGGUAUAUGUCUUCUAAAGCUAAAUACCGGCCAGAGACCGAUAGCGCACAAGUAGAGUGAUCGAAAGAUGAAAAGCACUUUGAAAAGAGGGUUAAACAGUACGUGAAAUUGUUGAAAGGGAAGCGUUUAUGACCAGACUUGGGCCCGGUGAAUCAUCCAGCGUUCUCGCUGGUGCACUUCGCCGGGCUCAGGCCAGCAUCAGUUCGCCGCGGGGGAUAAAAGCUUCGGGAACGUGGCUCCCUCGGGAGUGUUAUAGCCCGUUGCAUAAUACCCUGUGGCGGACUGAGGUUCGCGCUCCGCAAGGAUGCUGGCGUAAUGGUCAUCAGCGACCCGUCUUGAAACACGGACCAAGGAGUCGUCUUCGUAUGCGAGUGUUCGGGUGUCAAACCCCUACGCGUAAUGAAAGUGAACGCAGGUGAGAGCUUCGGCGCAUCAUCGACCGAUCCUGAUGUUCUCGGAUGGAUUUGAGUAAGAGCAUACGGGGCCGGACCCGAAAGAAGGUGAACUAUGCCUGUAUAGGGUGAAGCCAGAGGAAACUCUGGUGGAGGCUCGCAGCGGUUCUGACGUGCAAAUCGAUCGUCAAAUAUGGGCAUGGGGGCGAAAGAGUAAUCGAACCUUCUAGUAGCUGGUUUCCGCCGAAGUUUCCCUCAGGAUAGCAGUGUUGAACUCAGUUUUAUGAGGU
rnacentral:rRNA from 1 species